GGGGGUACAGCCAGCCGAGGCGCAGCCUCUGUCCCUUCCUGAGGACCAGCUCAGACCAUCCAAGGCACUCCAAGUCCCCCAAGACACUGCAGAGACCCCUCCUGCCUCCUCAAACAGUGGAGAGGAAGACAGCCGGGACCCCCCUCCAGUGCUUGCCAAGAUUCCUAGGGGUCCGGCAGCUCAGGCUUGGGUGACAGCAUUGGUGCAGGAGGCUGGGACCCUCCCCCGAGAGGCUGCAGGAAGGGCUUGGGGAACGGUAUGAACAUGGAGUAGGAGUGGUAGUGAGCCUCCUGUCACCAGAGGUGUGCUAGUGUGGGGAUGCCUCAGAAGCCUCCUGACCUGGCUUACAGUCACCCAGUCAAACCUCAAAUCGGGGUGGGAGGACCAGGACCCCGCAGGCAGUAAGAGAACCCUCUAGCACCUGCAGCUUCAGAACCUCACCCAGGAGGACCAGCUCUAUGGCACCCCAUCCCCAGCUCCGCUGCUAAGGUGACGCACUGCUCCUACUGUGCCAGCCCGUGCUGCGUGGGCAACAGCCCUUUAAGCCUUACCACCAGCGACAAGGAACACCGUAGGAAAAAGUCGCAAAUGAGGAAAACUGGGCGCCCACGGGGUGGGAGCCCCAGACCAGCGAUGGGUCAGCAGCUGGGGCGUCAGGGGGAGCUGUGACUUGGAAGCCAGACCCAGACUGGCCCCUGCAGAGCCUGACCAGCUCCCUGUGGUUCCACCCCACCCCCACCCACAGGAGCAUGGGAAACAGCCCAGCAGGGCAGUGGGGAUCAUGGGACCCCUCCCCCCCCUUAAAGCAGCAGAGCCCCCGGGUCACCUGCUUGGUGCUCCUGAAGGGACACAGCCACCCUGCCUGGAGACUUCCCUGUUCCAGGGUCCUGUUUCCACGGACUGGGGGAGACCAUGGAGCUGCUGUCCCCUGCAGGAGGUGACGCUGUCCCGUGGCCAGGACCCCCUAGAUGUGUCCGGGGUAGGUACUGGGCAAGGCUCACUGUCCUUGUCCUGUAGGGGGGGGACAGGUGACCUGCCCAUGCCCUGCGUGCCCUACCCUCAGAGGAAAGCCUGUGGUCUGUCCUGGGGAUCUCCGGGUCCCUGCUGCGUCCCUGCCCCCGUGGGCAUGCCUGGCAGCCCCUUCCUCUCGCAGCCGCAGCAGCGCGUUUCAGCGAUUAGGACUGUAACCCCAGUGACCCCACGACCGGGAAGCCGUCCACGGGGUUCCCUGCUGGCCCUUACUAACGGCGUAACUCUGAGCGAGCUAUGUUCCCUCCGGUGCCUCCUUCCUUGGCUGUAAAAUGGGACAAUAACAGAUUCUAUCUUGUGCGUUGCUGGGUGGUUUCUAGAGUAAACUCGGAGCACCGGUGGGUGUGCGGGAUGCCAUCCGAGCUGGCAACGUCCCCACCAGGGGCCAGGAUGCCCCCAAGCACGGGCGCCAAAGACCCGAGUCCGCACAGCUGCCGACCCAGCCCUGACGUCCCGGUCUCACACCCACGCUCACAGACGACAACCCAGAGACUGUGCGGGCACAGCCCAAGCCCGCCAACCGCCGGACUCCGGACCUCCCCGCCGCCCCGCACCACCCGCAGGAAGUGGCCUCUGCAGACCCCGGGGGGGGGGAGGCCGAUCCACGCGCCUCCUGCUCACCCAGGACACGACGCAAACCCCACCGGGGUGCGGGGACGCCUGGCGGGUCUCCCUGAGGAUGGUCUGCCCCUCUGGGGCCCCGCGGAGGCUGGCCGCUCUGGCCGCGUCCGUCCGAGGGGUGGGCACGCCCAGACUGCCCAGCCCCAGACCCGCCUCCUGCCCGACGCUCCUCCCGGAGGCGGCCGGGGGGAACCCUGCGCGCGGACACCCGGCCAGCCGCCCGGGGCGAUCACCCCUCCCCGGCCCGCACCCCGCAGGCGCCCCUGGGAGCGGACGUACAACUCACCGUCCAGGUGGCCGACUUGGCCGUGCUCGACUGCUGGAAGGUCACUGCUUGUGUUGGGAUAAACUGACAUAUUCACCUCGCCUCCCCCCUCCAUCGGCUCCGGGUGCCAGGGUUUCCGGGGCUCCACCAAGCACACCUGGAGGGAGCUGCUGGUGGGGGUGGCUCCCGGCCCUCCGGACCCUCUCCCAGGCCAGCAGACUCAGCGGCACUCUCCAGGGGGCGGUCUCCAGCCGGACACCCUCGCCUCCCACCCUGUGUUCCAGCCAGAAGCGGGGAGACCCCAGGCCCAGGGAGCCCGACUGUGGGAGAGGCGGGCCCGCCAGAGGGUGGCCCCAGCGUGUGGGGCCCAUAGUCCCCUCCUACUGGUCCACAUCCUAACCCUAACCCGGGAGCCCAGCCCCUCCCCCCCCCCCACAGGAGGAACAGGGACUCUAAGCUGUACUGUGUGUAUGCACCCCCAGCUCACCCCCUUGGGGUCCCGGGACCCCGAGAUGGGCCAGCCCCUGCCUGGGGCUUGAGGAGGCCCCAGCAAGGGGACCAGCCCAAUCUAGGGCAGAUCAGACUCCUCCUGGAGGGCCGGCAAGGAAGACGCCUUUCCCGAUCUGGAGGCUUCGAGCGGCAGGAGCCCGAGGUGGACACUGCCAUUAUCGCGUUUCACAGACGGGGACACUGAGGCACGUAGAGGGAGUGACCGGCCUGGGGUGAGGCAGUGGCCCCGAGAGCCCCG